AAUAUGGUGAAACCCCGUCUCUACUAAAAAUACAAAAAUUAGCUGGGCAUGAUGGCGGGUGCCUGUAAUCCCAGCUACUCGGUAGGCAGAGGUUGCAGUGAGCUGAGAGCGCACCACUGCACUCCAGCCUGGGUGACAGAGCUAGACUCCGUAUCUCAAGAAAAAAAAAAAGUUUUGUUUUGUUUUUUUGAGACAGAGUCUCACUCU
rnacentral:lncRNA from 10 species